GACGAACGCUGGCGGCGUGCUUAACACAUGCAAGUCGAACGGAAAGGCCCUGCUUGCAGGGUGCUCGAGUGGCGAACGGGUGAGUAACACGUGGGUGAUCUGCCCCUUACUUUGGGAUAAGCCUGGGAAACUGGGUCUAAUACUGGAUAGGACCAUGCUGUAGGUGGUGUGGUGGAAAGAUUAGUUUCGGUAAGGGAUGAGCUCGCGGCCUAUCAGCUUGUUGGUGGGGUAAUGGCCUACCAAGGCGUCGACGGGUAGUCGGCCUGAGAGGGUGGACGGCCACAUUGGGACUGAGAUACGGCCCAGACUCCUACGGGAGGCAGCAGUGGGGAAUAUUGAACAAUGGGCGCAAGCCUGAUGCAGCGACGCCGCGUGGGGGAUGACGGCCUUCGGGUUGUAAACUCCUUUCAGCCAUGACGAAGCCCUUGUGGUGACGGUAGUGGUAGAAGAAGCACCGGCUAACUACGUG
rnacentral:rRNA from 1 species